AUUGAACGCUGGCGGCAGGCCUAACACAUGCAAGUCGAACGAGUGGCGGACGGGUGAGUAAUGUCUGGGAAACUGCCUGAUGGAGGGGGAUAACUACUGGAAACGGUAGCUAAUACCGCAUACCAUCGGAUGUGCCCAGAUGGGAUUAGCUAGUAGGUGGGGUAAAGGCUCACCUAGGCGACGAUCCCUAGCUGGGCUGAGAGGCGGACCAGCCCACCUGUACCGAAGAUCCGGUCCAGACUCCUACGUGAGGCAGCAGUGGGGAAUAUUGCACAAUGGUCGCAAGCCUGAUGCAGCCAUGCCGCGUGUAUGAAGAAGGCCUUCGGGUUGUAAAGUACUUUCAGCGGGAAGGCGUUACCCGCAGAAGAAGCACCGGCUAACUCCGUGCCAGCCGCCGCGGUAAUAC
rnacentral:rRNA from 1 species